ACCGUACAUAACUUAAAGGAGGAAAUGUUUAAUUUUUCUCAGGGUUUCAGUCCAUGGUGGGCCUGGCUCCGUUGCUGUAGGCCUGAGGUUGGGCAGGAAGGGCGUGACAGGAAUGCUGCUCACCUCCUGACAGCAGCAAGCAGAGAAAAAGCACCGGAACAGACAGACACUCCAAGGACACACUCCAGGGUCCUACUGCCUUCAACUUCGCCCCACCUCCUAACAGAACCUUUAACAGUGAACUCAUCAAUGGACAAAUUGAGAACUUCUAUUCUCUUAUCUUCUGGAAUCAGCCACACUUGA
rnacentral:lncRNA from 1 species